rnacentral:rRNA from 1 species
AAACCAACCGGGAUUGCCUCAGUAACGGCGAGUGAAGCGGCAAAAGCUCAAAUUUGAAAUCUGGCCCUUCCGGGGUCCGAGUUGUAAUUUGUAGAGGAUGCUUCGGGUGCGGCCCCUGUCUAAGUGCUCUGGAACGGGCCAUCGGAGAGGGUGAGAAUCCCGUCUGGGACGGGGUGUCCGUGUCCGUGUGAAGCUCCUUCGACGAGUCGAGUUGUUUGGGAAUGCAGCUCUAAAUGGGUGGUAAAUUUCAUCUAAAGCUAAAUAUAGGCCGGAGACCGAUAGCGCACAAGUAGAGUGAUCGAAAGAUGAAAAGCACUUUGAAAAGAGAGUUAAACAGCACGUGAAAUUGUUGAAAGGGAAGCACUUGCAACCAGACUCGCCCACGGGGUUCAGCCGGCUUUCGGGCCGGUGUACUUCCCCGGGGGCGGGCCAGCGUCGGUUUGGGCGGCCGGUUAAAGGCCCCCGGAAUGUAACACCCCUCGGGGUGUCUUAUAGCCGGGGGUGCCAUGCGGCCAGCCCAGACCGAGGAACGCGCUUCGGCACGGACGCUGGCAUAAUGGUUGCAAAUGAC